rnacentral:rRNA from 1 species
GACGAACGCUGGCGGCGUGCUUAACACAUGCAAGUCGAGCGGUAAGGCCCUUUCGGGGGUACACGAGCGGCGAACGGGUGAGUAACACGUGGGUGACCUGCCCUCAGCUCUGGGAUAAGCCUGGGAAACCGGGUCUAAUACUGGAUAUGACUCCAUGACGCAUGUUGUGGGGUGGAAAGCCCUGUGCGGCUGAGGAUGGGCCCGCGGCCUAUCAGCUUGUUGGUGGGGUGAUGGCCUACCAAGGCGACGACGGGUAGCCGGCCUGAGAGGGCGACCGGCCACACUGGGACUGAGACACGGCCCAGACUCCUACGGGAGGCAGCAGUGGGGAAUCUUGCGCAAUGGGCGAAAGCCUGACGCAGCGACGCCGCGUGAGGGAUGACGGCCUGUGUAAC